GUUAUCCGGAAUCACUGGGCGUAAAGAGCGUGUAGGCGGGUAUAUAAGUCAGAAGUGAAAUCCAAUAGCUCAACUAUUGAACUGCUUUUGAAACUGUAUACCUAGAAUGUGGGAGAGGUAGAUGGAAUUUCUGGUGUAGGGGUAAAAUCCGUAGAGAUCAGAAGGAAUACCGAUUGCGAAGGCGAUCUACUGGAACAUUAUUGACGCUGAGACGCGAAAGCGUGGGGAGC
rnacentral:rRNA from 1 species